AUCGUAACGGUAGCCAAUUUACCAUUUCAACUUUGAUGAUAUAUUCAAAUUAUCUGUUUAUAUACGACGCGUAUGGUGUUAGAUGUUAACCCUUUACAGCCAAGCAUCAGAAUGCAUAUUCUCUAUACUGUUCUCUAAACACUUCCUAAGGUGCUGACAAGGAGAAUUUGUUUGACAAUCAAGAGCUGUUUUAGUUCAUGAUCAUUUCGUUUAUUCUCAUGACCUUAAAGUUUGAUUCAACAGUGAUACUAUAAGAAAAAGGAUGCUAGAUUUUUAGGGCUACUAAAUUUAAUGUUAAUAUAAAUAAGGAAAGGUUAAUAGAGUUAAAGAGUUGAAGGAGUUUAGUCUCUCAGAUCUGUGGAAAAUUUUAAACUCGGUUUUUUGUGCCACAAGAGCAAGAUCAUCAGAAACAACAACAACACAAAAAAAAACAAAGUUUACAGAAUGACCGCUGAUUACUGGCGCUGCAUGCGAUGAAACACGCACCUGGCACAAAAUGAAGGGUAGACUGGGAGACUACGAGUUACGAGCCCGGAGCUGUGGGAGUGAGGCGCUCGAAAAGUUGGUGCGCCUCACUCCCACAGUUCUAAGCACCACGCUAACAUCUUGGAAACAUUUGCAAUCAAAGGCAAGCGCGAGAAACGCGAGGAGAGCAAGAAUUAGCCUUUCAUGUAACUGCUUUAAAAAUUUGUCUUGGGUUCAAAUGUGUUAGAACCCAAUGCAUUACUCUGUAAAGCAAGAGAGAACCUAAAAUAUUUUUGUGCGCCUUUCCACGAGUAAAAACAAAUUUUGCCUCAUAAACUAUACGGCAAAGAGCAUAAUAUCGAAGACAAAUCUGCACGCGCGCAACGCAAGGCCUGACGGUCUUUGCUGUAAUCCACACGUAACAAUUAUAAUAAAGUCAUUGUUUGACGUUCGAAGGUUCAAACUGACACUUCGCACUACAAGUGAGAUUUGUUAGCGUGCUGAAUUGAGCCAGUGGGGAACAGAGAUAUUUUUGCAUAUUGCAAGCAUUGUAAUUGUGGUUGCUACGUGUGGGGUACACUUGAAAUGAUUGAGGUCGAGAAUGUUGACUUCCUCUUGCCAAAAUGGUUCCCUUCCGCCAGUCUUCGAGCUGUGGAAAAACGCGCAGAAGACCUUCAAUGCCAAGUCUUGGGAAGAAUUCGACGAUUCAAAGAUUUUGCGAAAAGACACCCAGUAAUUGCGAUGUUCUUGGCUUUUGUAUCAUUCCUUGGUUUCUUUCCAAUCUUCCUUUUCCUGACGUUUCUUUCCGUCUCGCUCAUCGUCAUCUUCACCACUGCAUCAGCAGUAUUCCUUGGAGUAAUCUUUGUGUCUACGAUCCCUUUCCUUUCAGUUCUGAUCUCCGUUCUCGCCGUCGUAGGCACUACAGUCUUGUUUAUCUACUUUGCAUGCCGUUCUUCCGUUAAGAUACUCCAAGUUUUACCGCGAUGGAAAAAAAUGGUGUUGCUUCUACCGUCACAACUUGUUGGGGUUUGGUUUAGAAAAUGCCCAUCCGUUUCAGAAAGAUUUGAUUUCUACGACGACUUUGUUCCCACGGACGAAGAAUUAUUUGACGAAGAAUUUUAUUAUGGCUCAGAUUCUGAAUGAUUUUCGUAAAUAACGGUUUUUAAUGUCUCGUAGUUUUAGAUAGAUAUUAUUGCUUUCCGUGUAACGCGUUGACCUACAGGCGUUCUAAUUUCUCGUUAGACAAAAAAAAUCUAAAAACGGUUUUAAAGACAAAUAAGAAAAAAAAUAUAAAAUUAACAAUAAUUUUCUGACAAUUGAUUCAAAUAUCUUUAAAUAUCAAUCACAUAUUAACAGUACUAUUUUCAACACAGUCAAAGAUGUUUCAUGUCUGAUAGACUUAAGUAAAAUUUAUCACUGAAUUCCAAAAUUCUUAAAAAAAAGAAAUGAAAACAAAAAGCAGAUUUACAAAUUUGUCAAAAGCUGAAAUUGCACCAUGAGGUUACUCACUCUUUCAUGUACAUUUGGAUGCACGAAGAACAGUUGAAAGAAAGAAAUUUGUUCUAACCAAAGUCUUUAAAUUGUUUACUGUAUGAUGUUGAAUAAAAAUUUGCAGUUUACGAGUA